GACGAACGCUGGCGGCGUGCUUAACACAUGCAAGUCGAACGGUGAACCUCUUCGGAGGGGCUCAGUGGCGAACGGGUGAGUAACACGUGGGCAACCUGCCCCCGGCCCUGGGAUAACUCCAAGAUAUUGGGGCUAAUACCGGAUGUUCACCGCUUCCCGCAUGGGUGGUGGUGGAAAGGGUUUCCGGCUGGGGAUGGGCCCGCGGCCUAUCAGCCUGUUUGUGGAGUAGUGGGGUACCAAGGCGACGACGGGUAGCCGGCCUGGGAGGGUGACCGGGCACACUAGGCCUACGGCACGGCCCAGACUCCAACGGGAGGCAGCAGUGGGAAAUAUUGCGCAGUGGGCGGGAGCCUGACGCGACGACGCCGCGUGGGGGAUGACGGCCUUCGGGUUGUAAACCGCUUUCAGCUGGGACGAAGCGCAAGUGACGGUACCUGCAGAAGAAGCACCGGCUAACUACGUG
rnacentral:rRNA from 1 species